rnacentral:rRNA from 1 species
UACAGAGGGGGCAAGCGUUGUUCGGAAUUACUGGGCGUAAAGGGCGCGUAGGCGGCCUGUUAAGUCGAACGUGAAAUCCCCGGGCUCAACCCGGGAACUGCGUCCGAUACUGGCAGGCUUGAAUCCGGGAGAGGGAUGCGGAAUUCCAGGUGUAGCGGUGAAAUGCGUAGAUAUCGGGAGGAACACCAAUUGCGAAGGCAGCUCGCUGGGACGUUACUGACGCUGAGACGCGAAAGCGUGGGGAGCAAACAGG